GUGCUUGCUUUGGCAGCACAUAUACUAAAAUUGGAAUGAUUUAGAGCAGAUUAGCAUGGCCCCUGUGCCAGGAUGACACGCAAUUGCGUGAAGCGUUUCAUAUAUAU